UAUUUCAUGUAAGAACCGUGCCAGGUU
rnacentral:sRNA from 1 species